rnacentral:rRNA from 1 species
UACAGAGGUCCCAAGCGUUGUUCGGAUUCACUGGGCGUAAAGGGUGCGUAGGUGGUGGGGUAAGUCGGAUGUGAAAGCUCGGAGCUCAACUCCGAAAUGGCAUUGGAAACUACCCUGCUAGAGGAUUGGAGGGGGGACUGGAAUACUUGGUGUAGCAGUGAAAUGCGUAGAUAUCAAGUGGAACACCAGUGGCGAAGGCGAGUCCCUGGACGAUUUCUGACACUGAGGCACGAAAGCUAGGGGAGCAAACAGG